rnacentral:ncRNA from 1 species
GAGGAGUACGUUCUCAAGAAUGAAACUCAAAGGAGUUGACAGGGGCCUGCACAAGCGGUGGAGCAUGUGGUUCAAUUUGAUGCAAAGUGAAUAACCUUACCAGGGCUUGACAUGCCGUGAAUCCUCCCGAAAGAGAGGAGUGCCUUCGGGAACGCGGACAUAGGUGGUGCAUGGAUUUUGUUAGCUCGUGCCAUAAGGUGUUGGGUUAAGUCUUGCAAUGAGUGAAACCCUUGUGUUUAGUUUCUAGCAUUGAUUUUGGAACCCUGAAUAGACUGCUGAUGAUAAGACGAAGGAAGGUGAGGAUGACAUCAAGUCAUCAUGCCCCUUAUGCCCUGGGUGACACACAUGCUACAAUGAUCAGGACAAAGGGUCGCGACCCUGCAAGGGCAAGGUAACCUCAAAAACUCGGCCUUAGUUCGGAUUGCGGGAUGCAACUUGCCUGCAUGAAGCCAAAAUCACUAGUAAUCGCCGGUUAGCCAUACGACGGUGAAUCCAUUCCCAGGCCUUGUACACACCGCCCGUCACACUAUGGGAGCUGGCCAUGCCCCAAGUCGUUACCUUAACUAAAAGGAGGGGGAUGACGAAUGCUGGGCUAGUGACUAGAGUGAAGUCGUAACAAGGUAGCCGUAUUGGAAGGUGUGGCUG